rnacentral:rRNA from 1 species
AUUGAACGCUGGCGGCAGGCCUAACACAUGCAAGUCGAACGAGUGGCGGACGGGUGAGUAAUGUCUGGGAAACUGCCCGAUGGAGGGGGAUAACUACUGGAAACGGUAGCUAAUACCGCCUACCAUCGGAUGUGCCCAGAUGGGAUUAGCUAGUAGGUGGGGUAACGGCUCACCUGGGCGACGAUCCCUAGCUGGUCUGAGAGGAUGACCAGCCACACUGGAACUGAGACCCGGUCCAGACUCCUACGGGAGGCAGCAGUGGGGAAGAUUGCACAGUGGGCGCAAGCCUGAUGCAGACAUGACGCGUGUAUGAAGAAGGCCUUCGGGUUGUAAAGGACUUUCAGCGAGGAGGCGUUACUCGCAGAAGAAGCACCGGCUAACUCAGUGGCAGCAGCCGCGGUAAUUC